GGAAAAGAUGGAGGAAGAGAUGGAGACAGAAUGAGGUAGCAGGUCAGGACAAGAGCAAGGACCAGGCAAGGCUGGUGGUGUUUUCGGGCCGAACAAUGCCUCUUGCAUACGCUGGUGAGCCCCAACAGCCAUGGAUCUUCCAAAGCUAGUGAAGCCAGGAUAGACUUUCUGCUAUGCCUCACCUGCCCUGAGAAGACGAGGAAUACAUAAUGCCGUGGGUAUAAACAGAGGCUUUACGAGCAGACAGAAGUGGGCCUGGCCCCUGGCCCUGACUUUUACCACCCCUGAGACUUCAGAAAGUCAUUCAACAGCAGGUUCUUGUGUUAGAUGAGAAUAACAGGAAUGCAGAUGUCAUCCAGUUGUUGGAGGGAUUCUGUGCAAUCAGCCCGACCACACUUUGUAGGCACCCACUACAUAGUAGCUAUUGUUAUUAAUAAACAGUAAGAUGUUUCCAUUAAAAACAGGACUGAAGAUGACUCUUCAACCAAAUCUCAAGGGAUCGUAAUUUUCUGUAUAAAUAAUAACCUAAU